ensembl:snRNA U1 U1 spliceosomal RNA
AUACUUACCUGGCAGGGGAGAUACCAUGAUCACGAAGGUGGUUUUCCCAGGGCGAGGCUUAUCCAUUGCACUCUGUAUGUGCUGACCCCUGCGAUUUCCCCAAAUGUGGGAAACUUGACUGCAUAAUUUGUGGUAGUGGGGGACUGCGAAAAAAAUAAAUAAAUAAAGGAAGCCUUUGGUUGCCGGACCCCUC